rnacentral:rRNA from 1 species
UACCAGCUCUCCGAGUGGUAGGGAUGAUUAUUGGGCUUAAAGCGUCCGUAGCCGGCUUAGCAAGUCUCCUGUUAAAUUCAGCGACCUAAUCGUUGAGCCGCGGGAGAUACUACUAGGCUAGGAGGCGGGAGAGGUCAACGGUAUUCUCGGGGUAGGGGUGAAAUCCUAUAAUCCCGGGAGGACCACCAGUGGCGAAGGCUGUUGGCUAGAACGCGCUCGACGGUGAGGGACGAAAGCUGGGGGAGCGAACCGGAUUAGAUACCCGGGUAGUCCCAGCUGUAAACGAUGCGGGCUAGGUGUUGGGGUGGCUACGAGCCACUUCAGUGCCGCAGGGAAGCCAUUAAGCCCGCCGCCUGGGGAGUACGGCCGCAAGGCUGAAACUUAAAGGAAUUGGCGGGGAGCACCACAAGGCGUGAAGCUUGCGGUUC